rnacentral:rRNA from 1 species
UACGGAGGGAGCUAGCGUUGUUCGGAAUUACUGGGCGUAAAGCGCACGUAGGCGGCUUUGUAAGUUAGAGGUGAAAGCCCGGGGCUCAACCCCCGGAAUUGCCUUUAAGACUGCAUCGCUUGAAUCCGGGAGAGGUGAGUGGAAUUCCGAGUGUAGAGGUGAAAUUCGUAGAUAUUCGGAAGAACACCAGUGGCGAAGGCGGCUCACUGGACCGGUAUUGAUGCUGAGGUGCGAAAGCGUGGGGAGCAACAGG